AAGCACAAAGGUUUGGUCGUGGCCUUACUGUUAAUUUUUAUUAGACCUACACGUGCAAGUUUCUGCAACUCGGUGAGUAUGCCCUUUUAACUUCUAUAGAGUUUAAAGGAGCUGGUAUCAGGCACACUUACAAAAGUAGCCCAUGACACCUUGUUUAACCACACCCCCACAGGUUACAGCAGUGACUAACACUGAGCUAUAAACGAAAGUUUGACUAAAUCAUAAUAAAAAGGGUUAGUAAAUCUCGUGCCAGCCACCGCGGUCAUAGGAUUAACCGAAAUUAACAGAAGAAUGGCAUAAAGGGUGUUUAAGCAUACAACCUACCAAAUAAAGUUAAAGCUCAACUGCGUUGUAAUACGUUCUAGUUGAUAUUAAAAUACACAAUUUAUGUGACUUUACCAAUGCUGAAGACACUAAAGCUAAGGUACAAACUGGGAUUAGAGACCCCACUAUGCUUAGCUGUAAACCAAGGUAAUUAAAUAACAAAAUUACUCGCCAGAGAACUACUAGCCACUGCUUAAAACUCAAAGGACUUGGUGGUGCCCUAGACCCUCCUAGAGGAGCCUGUUCUAU
rnacentral:ncRNA from 1 species